rnacentral:tRNA from 1 species
AUUUAAAUAGUUUAAUAAAAAAUUUUGAUUUGUGGGAUCAAAGAUAUGAAUUUCAUUUUAGAUA